GUGUUUGCUUUGGUAGCACAUACGCUAAAAUUGGAACGACACAGAGAAGAUUAGCAUGGCCCCUGCACAAGGAUGACACACAAAUUCGUGAAGCGUUCCAUAAUUUU
ensembl:snRNA U6 U6 spliceosomal RNA